rnacentral:lncRNA from 1 species
CUCAUUUUUAAGUGUUUAUUUCUACAUUCUAAUAUUUGCAAUUACCUCACUGUUUUUCAGAUUCUUUUUAUUUAAGUGAGAAAUAGUUCAAAUUCUUCCUAAUAUUUGAUGAAGUGAGAAAUGUGAUUGUUAAAAAAGACAUUUUUAAAAAGCGUUCAAUUUGGUAUUCAUUUAUCAUAAUGCAGAAAGAGUUUUCUUUGCUUACAGCUUACAUAUUAUGGAUGCUUUUCAAAAAUGUAUUGUGCUCUUAUUGUCUCUUAUCAGCUUGUAUGAUAGAUUAUAAAGGUUGGUGAUUGUUGUUCCUCAGACUUCUAUAUGUUAAGCUGGCAGCAGUAAAAUGUUUUAAUGCCAUUACCUUUUAAAUAAUUGUAUUAUAUUAACAUACCACGUGUUUUCUGGGUAACUUUGAAAGAGCCAAACAAAAGUCUGUGAGAAAUAGGAAUUGAUAUUUUGUUAUUCGUGUAGUUUUUCCUCAUAAAAAUGGUUAUCCCAAAAUUAACACGUUAUCUCUUAGGGUUCACAAUAAAAGUACUCCUGCUUACUCAAAAACAGUAAAAAAAAAAAAAAAAAUGACACUUACCAACAGUUUUGUUCAUUGUCUCAAAAGAUCUUCAUAAAUGAUCAAAUUGUCUAGUUCUCAAGAGUGGAAAAUUGUUUUCAAUAGCAAGAAUUUUAAACCUUAGUUUAAAAGUCCAGAAUUGUCUCAUGUUAGAUUCAACAUCCUAUCGUUUCCCUUUCCCUGACUCUAGUCUUAUUAAGGAGGAAGUCUAAAGAAUGGGGACACAAAAGUCACUAUUUCUUCCUGCCUUGUGUUGGCUCCUCCUGUGUAGGUUCUUUCACUGUCCGCUCUGUACAGCACCAACCCCCACCCAGCUGCUCUGUGUCAUAUCUUCCUCGGUUCUGGCCACAAUUCCCCAAUAUUACAGACCCUGCCUGACAACACAGACAUUCUCCAUCCUGGGUGGAUGACCAGACAACAGCCCCCGUCAAAUUCUCCUGCUUCUCAGUCUACCAAGAUGAGGAUGAGGCCCCAUAUCUGCCUAGGGAAGCAAAUGCUAGUAUUGUCAUCAGUUUUGCCAAACCAUAUACAUUCCUGCCACCUCUCAUGAGCCUGGUUGACACAAGGGGACCAUGGAAAACACUUUUUUUUAAUGUUGUGGAGGAAUCAAACUCACAAAUACAGAAAUAUCAGUACCAUACUCUCACCAAGUGACAAGCUCACUGUCCCCUGCAGUAUUUUGAGACUGUCUUGUGUCUCCUUAAGUCCCAGGGAAGGAACAGCCUCACUGACCACCGUGUUGAAGGAAAACCCUUGUAUCAGCUGCAGAGCAGUGUUACAAGUAAAGGAGGAGAAAGCUAAUUGUUUUUAAGGGGGGAAAAUCCUUCUGAUGACAAUUCAUCAUUUUUAAAGUAAACUUGAGCAUAGAAUAUCUUAGCCGUGCAGCUGUUGGACUCCCUCCCCUUGGGAAAUGGUAAUCCUACGUUGUGUUAGUUAUAACCGCUUUGCUCUACUCUCUCAGAUCUAAGAAAACAAAAUGUUCAAGCAUCUAAAUGGGGAGUUGGCAGAUACUGAGAGAAACUGGGCCAUGCGUAGGGCAAAGAGUCUGGUUUUUGGAGUGAGAAACCAGGUACCCUUUACCUACUGGCAAAGGUGAUGGAGCGAGGAAGCAGUUGAGGUUCUCAUCAUCGAUACACUAAGGAAGCUGAGUGCAUAAAGUUUUGAUUUUUUACACUUCAUUGUAAGUCACUGUAGUUCAUUUCUUAAUGGCUAUUUUAGAGUAUAAUUUUUUUCAGAAUUAACAAAAUAGAUAUCUGCUCAUUCUCUUUCUACAUGUUUGUAAAGCCCACCUGGUUAGUAUACCCUGGACUAGGACACAGUUAGGGCUAGAACACAGAUCGGUCUUGAAGCUCCUCUCCAGUUCACAACUCGUGUCCUGAUGUCAUUCUUUGGUUUUAUUUAGUUUCUUUCUUUAACUCAACACAUUGGAAACCAUGAGACUAAAACAAUUUCCUUUCCCUUUCUUAAGUUUAGAGGGGAUUGUUUUUAAUCUUUAGCUUCCCCGCUUAGGUAGUGAAAACUUUUUGAAUGACAGCAGUGACCUUCCCUAGGUAAAGCCACUAAAACUGAAAGCCAAAUUCCAUUCCUUUGACAAAUAUCCAUGUAUUUUCUAGGUGAAACCAGUAAAUGAACCUCACAUGAUGUUCACUACCCAUCCUUAAGCUUGGUGACUGGCCGGCUUUUUAAAAUUUUAUUUUUGGAAUACAGGCAUCUCAUAUUUUUUCUGAAGCCACACUAGCCUAAUUCCUAUUGCUUCCCCACAUUAGCCUACCCAUGUCCCAGCAAGUGGCAGUGCCUCCAGCGCUGCCUGUUUUGUGGGCAAAAGUCAUGUGAAAAAUACCCGGAAAGAUGGGUUUUAGGUUUAAGUUCACAAUCAUUUGGGAACAUUCUACACCAUUAGGUUCUGACACUCUUUAAAAAAAUUUUUUUAGUACUGACUACAUAUUUUACUGGGGGAGGAACUGAAAGGAAAAUUUGAGCCAAGUGAUGUGGUUGACUCCCUGCCCUAUGUUUGUUUGUCUCCCCAGAAAAUAGAUUAGCCCAUGUCUACCACUCAAGAGUCUUCUGAGAGUAAACAGUGAAUGUGUAUAAAUGAGAAAAAUUAUCUCAAAGAUCUAAUUUUUGGUUUAGAUAUUUUCUUCUUUUUAAACUCAGGAAUAAACCUGGUUUGUGGGUAGCAUAAUAUAGCUGUUAAAACUAAUUUGUAGGUGACUAGAGGGUCCUUUUAAAUAUAAUUUUUCUAAAGACUUCUAACUUUGUUUCAACUCGGAAGAGAAACCCUUUGAAUUAAGAAAAACAAAACAAAACAACUUCCACAAGCUCCUUCUAGGAGAGAGUAACAUCAGUCUACCAUCUUUCCCAAAGUGUUUAUUUCUUGCCUGUUGUAUCUCAGUUUUUAUGAGUGAAAAACAAGGUGCAUGUUUUUUAUUUCUUGGAAAAGUGAAUUGAGGUGUUGCAUUAAAUUUUCAAAUGAGACAACUUAAUCAAAAGAAAAGCAUUGGUUUUGGAGACAAGAACACAGGGCUGUGGUUCCUGUUCCAACCCUGACUUUACUGUGUGACCCCAAGCAAAUUAUUUAACUUCUCUGUGCCUCAAUUUCUCCAUAUAUAAAUGUGGGGAUGAUACCAACCAUUGCCUACCUCAUAGGGACAUUUGGGGGACAAAUGAGAUAAUAUAGAUAAGUAUGAAUGCUUUCACCUCUUUGGAAGAAAGGUGCUAUAUAAUUGAAGUUGUCUUGUUUCAAUGAUCCAAUUGUUAAUUAUGUUUAGGGUUUAGAUAAUAGCAAUAUUGUUAGUUAUGUUAAGAGUACCUUUCGAUUUAAUGCAUAUUUCCAGUUCUCUUCUGUGGCCACAUCUUGAUCAUCUAGUAAUGGUACCUAAGGAACUGAAAUGAGUAUUUGUUUUCUAUGUUUCUCCUGGUAGUAUUUCAAUUAUGAAUAUUCAGAAAAGCCUGGAGUUUAACUUGUAAUAUCUUAUAGUUUACAUGUAAUGAACCUUAUUCAAGCUGUAUAUAAAAAGUAUAAUUAUAGGUAAAGUAUAAUUACAAGUAAAUAGCAGGUACAUUGUAAUUAAAGGCACUUUUCACAUUGUCUUUGUUCUUUUUUAAUUGUAAUAAAGGUCGG